rnacentral:tRNA from 1 species
AGGAAUUUAGGUUAACCCAAGACCAAGAGCCUUCAAAGCCCUAAGUAAGUGCCAACACUUAAUUCCUG